GGGGGCGAUCAGGGUUCGACGGGAGGACAUGACAACUGUGCUGCGCGCCGGGGACGCCACUUGGCCCCGUUAACAAUGUGGCAAAACACACCAGCCGACACUGAGCUGGCUCUCGCUGCUUAACAGCUAGCGAGCGUGCCGCCUCUCCUCGUCCGCGGGAGGGGGCCGGGACGCCAUGAAGCGGACUAGCCGGCGCAUCCUCCGGUCCGAAGGAGGCGCUGGCGAAAUUUAACCGGACUAGCCCGGAGAAGAGCCCGCCGGCGGGCGCGAGCCCGGGCGAAACCCAAAGCGCCGGACACGCGCGUAGACGCUCAGUUAGAAGCCUUUCGGACGCGGGUUCGAUUCCCGCCGCCUCCACCA
rnacentral:tmRNA from 1 species